UACGUAGGAGACGAGCGUUGUCCGGAAUUACUGGGCGUAAAGCGAGUGUAGGCGGUCUCAUAAGUCGGGUGUGAAAGCCCCGGGCUCAACCCGGGAAGUGCACUCGAAACUGCGAGGCUAGAGUAUCGGAGAGGUUGGUGGAAUUCUCGGUGUAGAGGUGAAAUUCGUAGAUAUCGAGAGGAACACCGGUGGCGAAGGCGGCCAACUGGACGAAUACUGACGCUGAGACUCGAAAGCGUGGGGAGCAAACAGG
rnacentral:rRNA from 1 species